UGUACACAUGGUUAGAGCUUGGAGUUGAAGCUGCUGAUUGGCCAGUGAGCUCACAAUUGUAGAUGGUGUGCUACCUCAGUGGCAGGCUUUUCUCUAACACCACGAGGGUCCCUGGUUCGAUGAGUGUGGUUUGCUAGCGAUCCUUGCUGUAACA
ensembl:snoRNA SNORA62 Small nucleolar RNA SNORA62/SNORA6 family